ACUGCCACCUUGACGAGUUCCACUUAGGAACAGCCAGAGCAGCCCCUGUCAGCAUCAGGAAAAGCCCAGUGGGGGUAUGUGCCCCCCUUUUCCUGGAGUGUCUCCAAAGGGACCCCAGCUGAAGUGGAAGGGAGGAGGGCUGGCUUUUCUCGUGGCCUUGGCGAGCAGGGCGUGGUGCAGUGUCGUGAGAACACUUUCAGGACCUGCCGCCCAGCUUGGGUCUCUCCAGCUGUGAUGCAAGGACCCUGGAGCCCUCAGCCCACAUAUUCACAGCUUCUCCAUGACCUCAGGCCUCAGUUUUCCCGACCCACCAGGCUCCUGUGAGGGUGGAAGAGCCGGAAGGAGGUGGGAUGGCCGCUCCACAAAUCUGAGUUGGCCUGGGGUUGUCGUGAGAACAGGGUAUAUGGCCCCUACUGACACCACCCCCAGUAGGUCAGGCCUGGCACUCUCGACACCCCAGUGGCCCGGGCCUUUCACCACACUCUUCUGGGGGGGAUUGGGGAGGACUCUGCUACCAGUGACUCACACCCUGUGGGGCAUGGGGUAAUUAUGACCCUGAGAAGCACCCACACUCUUUCUGGCUAGGCCAGAGCCUACAGAUUCUGUGGGUACACCCCAGCAAGGCCAGAGCCUGGUAGAGAGGAGCAAGGGUGGCAGGAGGAGGGGAACCUGCUCACCCCUCUGCUUCAUGCUCUCAGGGCUGCCUGCAGGCCUGGCUGCCUUCCUCAUCCUCGCCGCUGUCACGCCCUCCCACCUGCCUUCUCCCAUCCCCUGCUUCUGGCCUUCUACUGACCCGCACUGGGGUGGGCAGGACACCGCCUGCAUGUGUCCUCAUUUAUCCACAUCCAUCAACCGUAGAUGGGGGUGCCUUUUACAGAUGAGGACAGGGAGGCUGUGAGAGGGGACUUAACUGUGCAGGGUCACCUUCAGCAUGACAGCGAGUGGAGCAGAGGUUCAGACUACCACUGUCCGCCCAGCUCCUGAUGCCACCCUGUCCUCUGAAGGCCUGGCCUCUUCCUGCCUUUUCGUCCUCUCUCCAGCUCUCCGACCUCCACACUGACUGUCCCUGUGACUUUGGACAAGCCCCAUCCCCGCUCUGUGCCUCAGUUUCCUUAUUUGCAAAAUGGAGAAGUGGGACCAGGACCAGACUGGGGAUGUCCACACUGUUUCUGUAGCUGUGGAGAGAUUCAGUGUCCAACAGAUCCCAGAGCCAAGGCCCCUCCUCAGCCCUGACAGCUGCUGGGUUCAGUGUCCUUUGCAUUAGUGCCUGGUCCUGAGAAGGAGAGACAGCCGGCAGGUGGAGGCAGCCUGGGGCCAGGCUCACCUCAGCUGUCUCCAGCCCUGUCGUCUUGAUGAGGCCCUGGGCUUCCACCUCCCAGGAUCCUUGGGUCACGGCCACCCUCAUACUUAGUGCAUGUGUGGCCUCCAGUUACCUGCCAUUGUUAGAAUGUUUUUAGCAGGAUAAUAAAGCACUGGGAAAAAGCCCACUGCACCAUCUAAACGAGGACCUGUCUCUGCAUAGUAAUGGCAGCAGCAAUGGUGGCCGGGAUGUUGAGGUUGAUGGAGGUGGAGGGAGCUGGUGAUGAUGACAGUUUCUAACAACUGUGCAGGGCAAAUGUUCACAAAGUCAUGCCGAGCCUCUCCUCAUUUCCAUUCUCCUGCCACCAUUGAUGGAAGCAGCGGGUGUGCUGUUCCCAUUUUGCAGAUGAGGAAACAGACAGACUGAGUUCCAUUCAACAAAGAGUUCCCAGCUCUGGCUCAGUCCCAGGCCCACUCUGGGUGGUGAUGCAGCUCAUUAAAAUUUAUCUUUUUGUGGAUCCUGAGGAUAUUUGGAAGUCAGCAGAGAGGGAGACAAGGCCACACACAGCCACAGAGUCACAGAGGACGGGCUGAGAUCGGGGCAGAAGGGCUCAUUCUGGGAGCACUGAGAUCCGAGUGCAUCCACUGGCUUUGGGGCUGGCAACUGGGCAAGGCGACCGCUCAG
rnacentral:lncRNA from 10 species